UGGGGGAAUUUUGGACAAUGGGCGAAAGCCUGAUCCAGCAAUGCCGCGUGUGUGAAGAAGGCCUUCGGGUUGUAAAGCACUUUUGUCCGGAAAGAAAUCCUCUGGGUUAAUACCUCGGGGGGAUGACGGUACCGGAAGAAUAAGCACCGGCUAACUACGUGCCAGCAGCCGCGGUAAUACGUAGGGUGCAAGCGUUAAUCGGAAUUACUGGGCGUAAAGCGUGCGCAGGCGGUUUUGUAAGACGGAUGUGAAAUCCCCCGGGCUUAACCGGGAACUGCAUUCGUGACUGCAAGGCUAGAGUAUGGCAGAGGGGGGUAGAAUCCACGCGUAGCAGUUGAAAUGCGUAGAGAUGUGGAGGAAUACCGAUGGCGAAGGCAGCCCCCCUGGGCCAAUACUGACGCUCAUGCACGAAAGCGUGGGGGAGCAAAACAGGAUUAGAUACCCCUGGUAGUCCACGCCCUAAACGAUGUCAACUAGUUGUUGGGGGAUUCAUUUCCUUAGUAACGUAGCUAACGCGUGAAGUUGACCGCCUGGGGGAGU
rnacentral:rRNA from 1 species